rnacentral:rRNA from 1 species
UAAGACGAACCGUGCGAACGUUGUUCGGAAUCACUGGGCUUAAAGGGCGCGUAGGCGGGCGAUAAAGUCAGGGGUGAAAUCUUUCGGCUUAACCGGAAAAUGGCCCCUGAUACUGAUUGUCUCGAGGGAGGUAGGGGUCUGUGGAACUUCUGGUGGAGCGGUGAAAUGCGUUGAUAUCAGAAGGAACGCCGGUGGCGAAAGCGACGGACUGGACCUCUUCUGACGCUGAGGCGCGAAAGCUAGGGGAGCGAACGGGAUUAGAUACCCCGGUAGUCCUAGCCCUAAACGAUGGGUACUAGGUUGUAGACUUCCAUGGGUUUACAGCCGAAGCAAAAGUGGUAAGUACCCCGCCUGGGGAGUAUGGUCGCAAGGCUG